ACAACGUUCCCAAGGGAGCGCUAAUACCGCACACGUCCUACGGGAGAAAGUGGGGGAUCUUCGGACCUCACGCUAUCAGAUGAGCCUAGGUCGGAUUAGCUAGUAGGUGGGGUAAUGGCUCACCUAGGCGACGAUCCGUAACUGGUCUGAGAGGAUGAUCAGUCACACUGGAACUGAGACACGGUCCAGACUCCUACGGGAGGCAGCAGUGGGGAAUAUUGGACAAUGGGCGAAAGCCUGAUCCAGCCAUGCCGCGUGUGUGAAGAAGGUCUUCGGAUUGUAAAGCACUUUAAGUUGGGAGGAAGGGCAGUAAGUUAAUACCUUGCUGUUUUGACGUUACCAACAGAAUAAGCACCGGCUAACUUCGUGCCAGCAGCCGCGGUAAUACGAAGGGUGCAAGCGUUAAUCGGAAUUACUGGGCGUAAAGCGCGCGUAGGUGGUUUGGUAAGAUGGAUGUGAAAUCCCCGGGCUCAACCUGGGAACUGCAUCCAUAACUGCCUGACUAGAGUACGGUAGAGGGUGGUGGAAUUUCCUGUGUAGCGGUGAAAUGCGUAGAUAUAGGAAGGAACACCAGUGGCGAAGGCGACCACCUGGACUGAUACUGACACUGAGGUGCUAAAGCGUGGGGAGCAAACAGGAUUACAUACCCUGGUAGUCCACGCCGUAAACGAUGUCGACUAGCCAUUGGGAUCCUUGAGAUCUUAGUGGCGCAGCUAACGCGAUAAGUCGACCGCCUGGGGAGUACGGCCGCGAGGGUGAAACUCGAAUGAAUUGACGGGUGCCCCCACAAGCGGUGGAGCAUGUGGUUUAAUUCGAAGCAACGCGGAAGAACCUUACCUGGGCUUUGA
rnacentral:rRNA from 1 species